rnacentral:rRNA from 1 species
GGGUAGAAUUCCAGGUGUAGCGGUGAAAUGCGUAGAGAUCUGGAGGAAUACCGGUGGCGAAGGCGGCCCCCUGGACAAAGACUGACGCUCAGGUGCGAAAGCGUGGGGAGCAAACAGGAUUAGAUACCCUGGUAGUCCACGCCGUAAACGAUGUCGACUUGGAGGUUGUGCCCUUGAGGCGUGGCUUCCGGAGCUAACGCGUUAAGUCGACCGCCUGGGGAGUACGGCCGCAAGGUUAAAACUCAAAUGAAUUGACGGGGGCCCGCACAAGCGGUGGAGCAUGUGGUUUAAUUCGAUGCAACGCGAAGAACCUUACCUACUCUUGACAUCCAGAGAACUUAGCAGAGAUGCUUUGGUGCCUUCGGGAACUCUGAGACAGGUGCUGCAUGGCUGUCGUCAGCUCGUGUUGUGAAAUGUUGGGUUAAGUCCCGCAACGAGCGCAAC